GACGAACGCUGGCGGCGUGCUUAACACAUGCAAGUCGAACGGAAAGGCCCUGCUUUUGCGGGGUGCUCGAGUGGCGAACGGGUGAGUAACACGUGAGUAACCUGCCCCUGACUUUGGGAUAACUUCAGGAAACUGGGGCUAAUACCGGAUAGGAGCUCCUGCUGCAUGGUGGGGGAUGGAAAGUUUCGGCGGUUGGGGCUGGGCUCGCGGCUUAUCAGCUUGUUGGUGGGGUAGGGGCUUACGAAGGCUUUGACGGGUAGCCGGCCUGAGAGGGUGACCGGCCACAUUGGGCCUGCGAUACGCCCCAGACUCCAACGGGAGGCAGCGGUGGGGAAUAUUGCGCAAUGGGCGGAAGCCUGUUGCGGCAGCGCCGCGUGCGGAAUGACGGCCUUCGAGUUGUAAACCGCUUUGGCAUGAAACGAAGCGUGCGUGACGGUAAUGGGUAAGAAAGCCCCGGCUAACUACGUG
rnacentral:rRNA from 1 species